CCCCUUAAAAUGGAGCUUGUGUAAAGGUUGUCACGCUGCUUGCUUAGCGAGUACCACUUCCCCCCAAUUCAGCCGAUACUCGGACCUCUGCCUCGCUAGCACACGUGACCGUCCUCCCUCAAGUGUCUUAGCCGAUUGCGCCAUCUCAAAAGCUAGCCAAUGAGGCGACGCAAGCGGGACACUUCAGGCUGAGGAGUAAGUUUCACAGAUCUUCAUCUGCUACACUUGUAGUUUACUCUGCCGGAGGAGGAAGACCAUGUUGAACUGCUGUUGCCACUACCGACGAUACCAUCGCUACCAUCAACGGGACCACGUCACACCGCUCUGCCACUUACCUUGCAACCAGAGGGGGACCAUUUAUGUACUAAAUUGGACAGGAUCAUGGGCUGGGUGCCACAGACGAUUGAGGACAACAGACGAUGAGGAAUGACUGCCAAAUGACUACCGACUAACAAUCCUCCAGCAGCACGGACAUUAUCUCCAGAACCGAGUUUGGUGUGUGUGUGUGUGUGUGUGUGUGUGUGUGUGUGUGUGUGUGUGUGUGUGUGUGAAUGGUGUUGUUGAACUUGUACUACACAAUAACUUGAGAUAAAGAACAUUUUCAAACCUG